CAGACCGCCAGCUAAGGUCCCAAAGUCAUGGUUAAGUGGGAAACGAUGUGGGAAGGCCCAGACAGCCAGGAUGUUGGCUUAGAAGCAGCCAUCAUUUAAAGAAAGCGUAAUAGCUCACUGGUCGAGUCGGCCUGCGCGGAAGAUGUAACGGGGCUAAACCAUGCACCGAAGCUGCGGCAGCGACGCUUAUGCGUUGUUGGGUAGGGGAGCGUUCUGUAAGCCUGUGAAGGUGUGCUGUGAGGCAUGCUGGAGGUAUCAGAAGUGCGAAUGCUGACAUAAGUAACGAUAAAGCGGGUGAAAAGCCCGCUCGCCGGAAGACCAAGGGUUCCUGUCCAACGUUAAUCGGGGCAGGGUGAGUCGACCCCUAAGGCGAGGCCGAAAGGCGUAGUCGAUGGGAAACAGGUUAAUAUUCCUGUACUUGGUGUUACUGCGAAGGGGGGACGGAGAAGGCUAUGUUGGCCGGGCGACGGUUGUCCCGGUUUAAGCGUGUAGGCUGGUUUUCCAGGCAAAUCCGGAAAAUCAAGGCUGAGGCGUGAUGACGAGGCACUACGGUGCUGAAGCAACAAAUGCCCUGCUUCCAGGAAAAGCCUCUAAGCAUCAGGUAACAUCAAAUCGUACCCCAAACCGACACAGGUGGUCAGGUAGAGAAUACCAAGGCGCUUGAGAGAACUCGGGUGAAGGAACUAGGCAAAAUGGUGCCGUAACUUCGGGAGAAGGCACGCUGAUAUGUAGGUGAAGUCCCUCGCGGAUGGAGCUGAAAUCAGUCGAAGAUACCAGCUGGCUGCAACUGUUUAUUAAAAACACAGCACUGUGCAAACACGAAAGUGGACGUAUACGGUGUGACGCCUGCCCGGUGCCGGAAGGUUAAUUGAUGGGGUCAGCGCAAGCGAAGCUCUUGAUCGAAGCCCCGGUAAACGGCGGCCGUAACUAUAACGGUCCUAAGGUAGCGAAAUUCCUUGUCGGGUAAGUUCCGACCUGCACGAAUGGCGUAAUGAUGGCCAGGCUGUCUCCACCCGAGACUCAGUGAAAUUGAACUCGCUGUGAAGAUGCAGUGUACCCGCGGCAAGACGGAAAGACCCCGUGAACCUUUACUAUAGCUUGACACUGAACAUUGAGCCUUGAUGUGUAGGAUAGGUGGGAGGCUUAGAAGUGUGGACGCCAGUCUGCAUGGAGCCGACCUUGAAAUACCACCCUUUAAUGUUUGAUGUUCUAACGUUGACCCGUAAUCCGGGUUGCGGACAGUGUCUGGUGGGUAGUUUGACUGGGGCGGUCUCCUCCUAAAGAGUAACGGAGGAGCACGAAGGUUGGCUAAUCCUGGUCGGACAUCAGGAGGUUAGUGCAAUGGCAUAAGCCAGCUUGACUGCGAGCGUGACGGCGCGAGCAGGUGCGAAAGCAGGUCAUAGUGAUCCGGUGGUUCUGAAUGGAAGGGCCAUCGCUCAACGGAUAAAAGGUACUCCGGGGAUAACAGGCUGAUACCGCCCAAGAGUUCAUAUCGACGGCGGUGUUUGGCACCUCGAUGUCGGCUCAUCACAUCCUGGGGCUGAAGUAGGUCCCAAGGGUAUGGCUGUUCGCCAUUUAAAGUGGUACGCGAGCUGGGUUUAGAACGUCGUGAGACAGUUCGGUCCCUAUCUGCCGUGGGCGCUGGAGAACUGAGGGGGGCUGCUCCUAGUACGAGAGGACCGGAGUGGACGCAUCACUGGUGUUCGGGUUGUCAUGCCAAUGGCACUGCCCGGUAGCUAAAUGCGGAAGAGAUAAGUGCUGAAAGCAUCUAAGCACGAAACUUGCCCCGAGAUGAGUUCUCCCUGACUCCUUGAGAGUCCU
rnacentral:rRNA from 1 species